rnacentral:rRNA from 1 species
UACGUAGGGUGCGAGCGUUGUCCGGAAUUAUUGGGCGUAAAGGGCUCGUAGGCGGUUUGUCACGUCGGGAGUGAAAACUCAGGGCUUAACCCUGAGCCUGCUUCCGAUACGGGCAGACUAGAGGUAUGCAGGGGAGAAUGGAAUUCCUGGUGUAGCGGUGAAAUGCGCAGAUAUCAGGAGGAACACCGGUGGCGAAGGCAGCACUCUGGGACGUGACUGACGCUGAGACGCGAAAGCGUGGGGAGCAAACAGG